rnacentral:lncRNA from 1 species
UGAGGCCUUAAUAUCUUAAUUUUCAAAAUUUGCAUUGAAAAAAUCUCACAUUGAAAUUUUGUGAUUAAUGGUUUAAUUUUUUUUGUAACAGAAAAUAUAAAAAUGUUAAUAAAAUCAUAUGGGUAGAAAACCUUAAUAAUAAAUAUUUGUUUCUAUAAAUUUAUAUUGAAUCAUGAUUUGUUUCUAUAAAUUUAUUCACAGCUUGUUUUAGGUAACUGAGUCACAUCAGUUCUUGAUUUAGGUAUUAUUGUACAAUUUUAAGAGCUAGAGAGUCUCCAUUUGAUCUCUCUCUUUGGCCUACUAUUAGAAAAAGUCAAAUCUAAAAAAAGAAAGAAAUCAACUCUAGUUUUUUU